rnacentral:rRNA from 1 species
UACGUAGGGGGCAAGCGUUGUCCGGAAUCAUUGGGCGUAAAGCGCGUGUAGGCGGCCCGAUAAGUCCGCUGUGAAAGUCCAGGGCUCAACCCUGGGAUGCCGGUGGAUACUGUCGGGCUCGAGUCCGGAAGAGGCGAGUGGAAUUCCUGGUGUAGCGGUGAAAUGCGCAGAUAUCAGGAGGAACACCCGUAGCGAAGGCGGCACUCUGGGCCGAUACUGACACUGAGGAGCGAAAGCGUGGGGAGCGAACAGG